rnacentral:rRNA from 1 species
CUCGAACGUAAGAUGACUGUAGGUGAAAGCUUACAUCUCUUCGGAGCAUUUUACGAGGUGCUGCAUGGUUGUCGUCAGCUCGUGCCGUGAGGUGUCCGGGUUAAGUCCCAUAACCGAGCGCAACCCCUACCUUUAGUUGCCAUCAGGUCAAGGCUGGGGACUCUAAUGAAACUGCCUACGCAAGUAGUGAGGAAGGUGGGGAUGACGUCAAGUCAGCAUGGCCCUUACGUCCGGGGCUACACACGUGCUACAAUGGCCGGUACAAAGGGUUGCGAAGCCGUGAGGUGGAGCGAAUCUCAAAAAGCCGGCCUCAGUUCGGAUUGGAGGCUGCAACUCGCCUCCAUGAAGUCGGAAUCGCUAGUAACCGCAGAUCAGCUACGUUGCGGUGAAUACGUUCCCGGGCCUU